rnacentral:misc_RNA from 1 species
UUAGGUUCAGCGGGUAGUCCUACCUGAUUUGAGAUCAAAUUGUCAAUAAAGAUUGUCUCUUGAAGAGACGGUUAUGAGCAGGUCCCCACAAGUCUUGUAUCAGAGUCAGGCGGCGUAGAUAAUUAUCACACCAAGUGACCAUCCACAAAGGAAUCCACUAAUGAAUUUAAAGGGAGCAGACCAUCCAACUGAAUGGAAGC